AUUGAACGCUGGCGGCAGGCCUAACACAUGCAAGUCGAACGAGUGGCGGACGGGUGAGUAAUGUCUGGGAAACUGCCUGAUGGAGGGGGAUAACUACUGGAAACGGUAGCUAAUACCGCAUACCAUCGGAUGUGCCCAGAUGGGAUUAGCUCGUAGGUGGGGUAAAGGCUCACCUAGGCGACGAUCCCUAGCUGGUCUGAGAGGAGGACCAGCCAAACUGGAACGGAGACACGGUCCAGAUGCCUACGGGCGGCAGCAGUGGGGAAUAUUGCACAAUGGGCGCAAGCCUGAUGCAGUCAUGCCGCGUGUAGGAAGAAGGCCUUCGGGUUGUAAAGUACUUUCAGCGGGGAGGCGUUACCCGCAGAAGAAGCACAGGCUAACUCCGUGCCAGCAGCAGCGGUAAUUC
rnacentral:rRNA from 1 species